rnacentral:rRNA from 1 species
AGCGAACGUUUGCGGCGGGCCUAACACAUGCAAGUCGAACGCACUAGCAAUAGUGAGUGGCGCACGGGUGCGUAACACGUGGGUAAUCAACCCUUCAGCUUGGGAUAACGACUUGAAAGGGUCGCUAAUACCGGACACGGCGCGAGAGGCUUCGGCAUCUCACGAGAAAGCCUCGCAAGGGGCACUGAAGGACGAGCCUG